UGGUGGCACAAUAUGCACUGUAGGCCUAUCUCAGGCCCAGAUACUAAUUUGACCUUGUCCCUGACCUAAACAGUAAGGAACAAUAUUAGUCUUCAAACCAACUGGUUCGCUAUCAGAGCAUCUGCACUCCUUUUUUAAACAACGCGUUAGGGACUUUUCUGCCCCUUUUCUGGAAUAGAAACCCUGUGCUGCAAUAUCUUCAUUAAACUGUGACAUGUUAUGUUUCUAUGCAGCAUUGAUGCAUCUGAAGAAGACUCCUCCCUUGGGAGACUCGUUAAUGAUGAUCACUAAAGACUCAAUCUCAAAAUGAAGGCCAUACAAGCAAACGAUGAGCCACACUUGUGCCUCUUCGCGACUCGAGAUAUUGCAGCUGGCGAAGAGUUGACUUAUAGUUACGGUGAUUCAGACUGGCCAUGGAGAACACAGGUCAUCAAAACUGAAUUGUCGUCCAGCCCAAAACCUGCUCAUUGACGCGUUGCAGAAUGACAACUCCCAACCCUUUCAGAACAGCAGGGACACGGAUGGAUCAGAUUCCAACUUGAAAGAAGAUGCGGAGACCGUGCCUGUGUCUUCCAGCC